AGCUGGUGCACAGUGAGUUCCCAGUCCCUCUCACUAACUUCACAGUGACUUUCUCUGCAGACAUACAUCCAGACUCCUGGUGAGACAUGCUGACUCAGGGAGGACUGCUCAGUGGAAGAGGACAGCACAUGGAAGGAGCCCAUGGACACAGCUGUCACCCCUCAGGGCAACAAAAUGCAAUUUCACCUCUGUUGUUUCAGGAGAAAGAUAACAGGAUUCAUGUGGGCCCAGGAAAGCAGCUGGCCUGGUUCUUGGGGACAAUGACUUAACAGCUGGAGUUGAUCUUCAUGGAAG